rnacentral:snRNA from 1 species
AUACUUACCUGGCAGAGGAGACACCAUGAUCAUGAAGGAGGUUUUCCCAGGGCAAGGCUUAUCCAUUCCACUCCAGAUGUGCUGACCCUGGGAUUUCCCCAAAUGUGGGAAACUCGACUGCAUAAUUUGUGGUAGUGGGAGACCGCAUUCGCGCUCUCCCC